rnacentral:rRNA from 1 species
UACGUAGGGGGCAAGCGUUGUCCGGAAUCAUUGGGCGUAAAGCGCGUGUAGGCGGCCCGGUAAGUCCGCUGUGAAAGUCCAGGGCUCAACCCUGGAAUGCCAGUGGAAACUGUCGAGCUAGAGUCCGGAAGAGGCGAGUGGAAUUCCUGGUGUAGCGGUGAAAUGCGCAGAUAUCAGGAGGAACACCAAUGGCGAAGGCAGCUCGCUGGGACGGUACUGACGCUGAGACGCGAAAGCGUGGGGAGCAAACAGG